UACGGAGGGGGCUAGCGUUGUUCGGAAUUACUGGGCGUAAAGCGCGCGUAGGCGGCUUUGUAAGUCAGAGGUGAAAGCCUGGAGCUCAACUCCAGAACUGCCUUUGAAACUACAUCGCUAGAAUCAUGGAGAGGUUAGUGGAAUUCCGAGUGUAGAGGUGAAAUUCGUAGAUAUUCGGAAUAACACCAGUGGCGAAGGCGACUAACUGGACAUGUAUUGACGCUGAGGUGCGAAAGCGUGGGGAGCAAACAGG
rnacentral:rRNA from 1 species